rnacentral:rRNA from 1 species
UAAUCACUUGUCUUUUAAAUGAAGACCCGUAUGAACGGCACGACGAAGGCCCAGCUGUCUCCUUUUUCAGGUCAAUGAAAUUGAUCUUCCCGUGCAGAAGCGGGAAUGUUAACAUAAGACGAGAAGACCCUAUGGAGCUUCAGACCCAAGGCAGCCCACGUCAAGCACCCCCCGACAAAGGGUUAAACCAAGUGAAGCUCUGCCCCAGUGUCUUUGGUUGGGGCGACCGCGGGGAAAAACUAAACCCCCAUGUAGAUAAGGAAUAGCCCUCCUACAACCAAGAGUCACCACUCUAAGCAACAGAAAUUCUGACCAAAAUGAUCCGGCAAUGCCGAUCCACGGACCGAGUUACCCUAGGGAUAACAGCGCAAUCCUCUUCCAGAGCCCA